rnacentral:rRNA from 1 species
UCGAGAAUCUUCCGCAAUGGGGGAAACCCUGACGGAGCGACGCCGCGUGCGGGAAGAAGGCCUUCGGGUUGUAAACCGCUGUCACGGGUUAAGAACAGGCAUGGUGUUAAUAGCUCCAUGCCUUGACAAAGGCCCGGGAGGAAGCCACGGCUAACUUCGUGCCAGCAGCCGCGGUAAGACGAAGGUGGCGACCGUUGUUCGGAAUCACUGGGCAUAAAGAGCUCGUAGGCGGCGCUGUAAGUCGGGUGUGAAAUCCCUCGGCCCAACCGAGGAACUGCGCCCGAAACUGCAGUGCUUGAGGACGGAAGGGGAGCGUGGAAUUCCUGGUGGAGCGGUGAAAUGCGUUGAUAUCAGGAGGAACACCGGCGGCGAAGGCGACGCUCUGGUCCGUUUCUGACGCUG